rnacentral:misc_RNA from 1 species
UCCGGCUUAACGCCGGCAGUCUACCUAGAGUCCUCGGCAUGACCCGGUAGCAACUGGGAGCGGGGGUUGCGCUCGUUGCGGGACUUAACCCAACAUCUCACGACACGAGCUGACGACAGCCAUGCAGCACCUGUGCAGGGACUCCGAAGAGGGGUCCUGGUUUCUCAGAACUUUCCCCUGCAUGUCAAGCCCAGGUAAGGUUUUUCGCGUUGCAUCGAAUUAAUCCACAUCAUCCACCGCUUGUGCGGGUCCCCGUCAAUUCCUUUGAGUUUUAAUCUUGCGGCCGUACUCCCCAGGCGGUCAACUUCACGCGUUAGCUACGGUACUGAGGAAUCGCUCCCCCAACACCCAGUUGACAUCGUUUAGGGCGUGGACUAC